rnacentral:rRNA from 1 species
AACCAGACUCCUACGGGAGGCAGCAGUGGGGGAUAUUGCACAAUGGGGGGAACCCUGAUGCAGCGACGCCGCGUGGGUGAAGAAGCGCCUCGGCGCGUAAAGCCCUGUCAGCAGGGAAGAAAAUGACGGUACCUGAAGAAGAAGCCCCGGCUAACUACGUGCCAGCAGCCGCGGUAAUACGUAGGGAGCAAGCGUUGUCCGGAUUUACUGGGUGUAAAGGGUGCGUAGGCGGCCCUGCAAGUCAGAAGUGAAAUCCAUGGGCUUAACCCGUGAACUGCUUUUGAAACUGUAGGGCUUGAGUGAAGUAGAGGCAGGCGGAAUUCCCGGUGUAGCGGUGAAAUGCGUAGAGAUCGGGAGGAACACCAGUGGCGAAGGCGGCCUGCUGGGCUUUAACUGACGCUGAAGCACGAAAGCGUGGGUAGCAAACAGGAUUAGAUACCCCUGUAAAU